ensembl:lncRNA
GUUUACAUCAAAAUUUAUUUUAUUGGAUAGAGACUAGGUAUAUGUAAUAUAAUUGGUUGAGUCAAAAGAAAUAUUUUAAAAGUAAAAUUAUUUUCAAGUUUUUGAAUUUGUAGAAAGUACCAGUGAAUAACAUAAUUUUGUUUAAUGUCAGCCAUGUGAUGAACAUCCAGCAGUUUACAGAUUGCUUAAUUUGUAGUUUAUAUUGUCCAGAAAAUCCAUUGUUCAUGAUGUUUCACAUGAAGGAUUAGGUCCUUCUUUAAAGGUAUAGCUUUGUGAAUGUCAUCAGCAGUUAUGGAUUUGAAGAAGUUGAGAAGUUUUAAAUAAAUUAAAAUAAACUGGUUGAUUUCCUAUCCAGGUAGAAGCUCAUAUUAGCUUCUUUUAUUUAAUUUGCUCUAUUAUUAUUUGCAUAUAAACUUUAUUUUUCUUGUAUAUAAAAUGAGCCAAAUUUGUAAUUAUUUCCAAAUACAGAAGUAGAUUUACCUGAGAGGGAUUUUAUACAAAAAUGUUACAUCAGCAUUUUAAGUUAUUUCUGUUUCAUUUUUAAUCUGUAAAUUAUGCUCAAGAAACUGAAGACUACUUAGGAUUGUAAAGCUUAGAAUAUUUUUGAAUAUAAGAAAUAAGGUUCUCAGAGUAUACUUGAUGCAGUCUGUAGAUAAGAGAUAGUUUAAAGUAAUAACUAACCCAGGGAAUUUAUUGUAAUUUAAGAGAUAACAUCUCUCUUUUUUUUAAAUGUAAAAAGUGGUAGUCACCAGCAAGCCAGGACUUCUGGAAAACUUACAAAAAAAAGUCAAAAUAGAAAAUAUCAGAAAAAUGAAAAAAUUUUUUCUUAAUUUGUGCACUUUGUCCAUAUUCUUAACAUUGUUGCAUUGUCUUGGACUGGAAAAUCAUUGAAGUAUUCAUCGAUUAGCCGUUUGUCGGUAGGAAGUGAUUUUCCUGUAUGUACCACAUAUCUAGUUCCUUUCAUUUUGCAAGAUAAAAUUCAUAUGUGUAUUUGCUUAGAGUCACUUGAAAUCUUACAUUUUGACAAAUUCUGUACAUUACAUCCAUUUGAAUUUUGCAUCAUCUUAACACCCUUGGUUUGCAUUUCAGUCAUAAAGUGUGUUUCCAAAAUCUGGUUACAGAUUCAACUGAGCUAUUACUAACUUCUUAAUAUGAUUUUUAUGGAUGUGAAAAAAAUGCUGCUACUUUACUCUGUGGUAUUUGUUCUCUUGGAUUGAGAUUUAUGCCCACUUUUUUUCAUUUAAAAAUGAAUGUGAAGAUACUGUUUACAGCUUUUGUUAAUUGCUCUUGUCAUCAUUCUGAUCAAUUUCUUGUAACUUACUACUGCCUCAAAAGUUUCAAAGGUUCUGUGGAUAGAAAGUGAUUGUUGAAACCAAAAAAAAAAAAAAAUUUAAAGGGAAAACUUUAGCUUAGCAUUCUCAGCUGAAUUGAAUUAUUUUAAUAAUGUACCAGUUACCAGGGUAUAACAUUGCUUUCUUCAGUUAUUAGCACAGUCAAAUUGUUAGGCAUAAUUCACUUAUAAAUUGAGUAUGGUAGUCUAGUUCUACUUGUAAGUGCUCUGUUUAUUUUUUUCCUUACAUCAGAAAAAUCAUGAAUAGUUUUGCAAUGAGGAAGGCUUAUAGGUUAAAUUAAAAUUUUAUACAAUAUAUAAAUAAAUAUGUACUAACUUAUUGUAGGUCUUUUGACUCAGGCAUUCAAAAAUGGGUAUGGGUUGAUGGCAAUGGAAUUCUAUUUAUUUGAGUUUGUUAUUUUUAAAUACUUUUGCUAUUUGUUUUGUGUUGUCUAAACUUUGCUUCAGCUGAAAACAAUGUAAUGAAUUAAAAACAGACAUAAUGUAUCAGUGGAAAACAAUGCAAAAAGGAUAAGUCAUUUUAAUUUUUUUUCUUUUUUUGUAAAUCAAUAGUACUGUGAUACUUUAGGUGUGGCUUCUACUUAACAUGGUAGUUAGAAUUAGAAACACACUUUCCUUUCUAGUUAUACUAUUGGUUCAUUGUAAAUGCAUUACCAAAAGAUAAUAUGAGAGAGAGCAAGAUUUAGUUUCUCUUAACAUUGUCCACGUCAGGGGCAAGCAUGCUUGGUGUAGAGCUCUAGCUUGUGUAUACCUUAAACUGUACAUGCAGGUGUUUUUUAGUUGCUGCACUUGUUUUUUGUUUUGUUUUGUUUUUUAAUCUUGCUCAGUCCCAGUAAUUAUUUCAGUGGUAAUUGCUGGAAUAUGCAGUUGAAAUAGUUUAAAAUUUUUUCUGUGUACUGUUUCAUUAAAAACAAAAAAGCAUUAUUGCUAACACUAAAAAUGUGCUAAAUCUUUGUAGUUAUUUUGCAUUCCUGUACUUUAUCAGAAAAAAACUGUCGGCCCGGGAUUUAGCUCAGUGUUUUCGGCGCCUGCUUCGCAAGCGCAGGGUCCCGAGUUCGAUCCCCGGGAGCAAAAAAAAAGAAAAGAAAAAACUGUCAUCAUAGCAAAAGGUUUAAAAUUAGAUAAUGAAAUCUUUUUGUAAAUAAAUACCAUUAAGCUGGUAUUUUUUAAAAAAUGUAUUAUAAAUGUUUCUGGAAAUGUUCAUAUAUAUGUAUAUGAAUGUCUCUUUAUGCUGAAGGGCUCUGACGGGGCAAAAUAAAAUCUCUCAUGAAAUUAAACAAGCCCUUUUUUCUGGAAAAUUUUUAAAUAUUUUUCUGAAUUGUACAAUUAAACUAUCAAUUUAACCUAAGAAAAUAAUAAAAUAGACUUCCAUACUUCCAAAGGGAAAGACAAGUUAGUCAGAUAAUUCAAGUAAGAUGUUUUUCUUCACUGUAUGGAAUUUGUGGUGAGGGUCACCUAGCUCUGUGGUAGAUGGUUAGAGAGGAAAGGGUAUGGGAGUGGGAGCACAGGAGACCUAAACUCAACCUAGAUGUGUGCUUCUCCUUGGCCUUUAGUGUGUACACCAGCCACUCAGCGAUCCUGUUAAAAUGCAGAUUACCAUUCAGUUCAUAGGAGCUGAGUCCUAACUUGACAUUUCUAACCAGCUCCAGCUAGGACAGAUGCUGCUGACCUCUAGAACAUAUUCAGAGUAGCAAGACUGGAUAAUUUCCAUAGUGGGCAUUUUGUUAGCUGAUCUUGCAGUAUAAGUGUCCAACUGUUUGUAUAAAUAAUGCAUAUCCCAUGUAACUAAGAGAAGAUCAAGCUAUUUAUUUGUCAUUGUUUCUGUUGCAUUUUAGAAUAAAGAAUAUGGUGAUUCCCUUAAUAAGUUGAAGGAUUGCUUGAUUUUAAAACGUGUAGUCUUGCUGUGGUAUAUGCCUGUUCCACAUGGUGGCAGUCUUGUCUCAUUUUGUGAGGCAUCAACAAGAAGCAUUUAUAAUCUUAGGAGGAAAAAAACCCCACAGGUUUUGCAAAGGUUAAUUAUCAUGACAGAUACUUUUUACCUAGAAGAUUAUUAAACAAUCUUAGAUAUGAGGCAGCAUAUCUUCCUGUUAUUUAUUAUACAGUAAUAUAGAUCAUUUGGUAGAAUGAUCUCAUUAUCAAAAGACUUCAUUUUGCAGAAAAUUUAG